rnacentral:lncRNA from 1 species
GCUGCUCGCCAUUUUACUGGGGCACGGUGUACCACGUUUGAACCGCGCCGCCGCCGCCGCCGCCUCAUUCACCAGGCCAUGGGAGAGCCGAUACGCGUUCUUGGGCUUCAUACUCGAGCAUCAGCCACUGGACUUCCUCCUCGUUCAAGUACAGACUCGCGAGGUCGCAGCCGUACCUCGCGAGGAAAAUCUCAUUGAACGCAUCCACGGAGAGCGUCGGCGCCGGCCGUGGCGACGUGGCGGCACCGGACGCAAGCGACAGAGAGGAAGCGGAGUGGCAGGAGGACGCCCUCCGGCAGAUCGGCGACGGAAGCGGCAUGUCGGAGACGCGUCCACUGCCGUCGCCAUGCUGUCCCGCGCCCCGCCGGUUGCUGAGGAAUAGCGCCAGCGCGU